rnacentral:rRNA from 1 species
CAAUGCGCGCAAGCUAGAUGCAGCCACGCCGCGUGCCGGAUGAAGGCCUUCGGGUUGUAAACCCCUGUCAGCAGGAAAGAAGCGAAAGUGACGGUACCUGCAGAAGAAGCGCCGGCUAACUACGUGCCAGCAGCCGCGGUAAUACGUAGGGCGCAAGCGUUGUCCGGAAUUAUUGGGCGUAAAGAGCUCGUAGGCGGUUUGUCGCGUCUGCUGUGAAAACCCGAGGCUCAACCUCGGGCCUGCAGUGGGUACGGGCAGACUAGAGUGCGGUAGGGGAGACUGGAAUUCCUGGUGUAGCGGUGGAAUGCGCAGAUAUCAGGAGGAACACCGAUGGCGAAGGCAGGUCUCUGGGCCGCAACUGACGCUGAGGAGCGAAAGCAUGGGGAGCGAACAGGAUUAGAUACCCUGGUAGUCCAUGCCGUAAACGUUGGGCACUAGGUGUGGGGCUCAUUCCACGAGUUCCGUGCCGCAGCUAACGCAUUAAGUGCCCCGCCGGGGAGUACGGCCGCAAGAG